CUGCCUGCCUCCCUGCCUGCCCUCUCCGUCCCUGGAGAACUCCAGCUUCAGGCACAUCAUGAUUUCUAAGAAAAAUACAGUGCUUCUUUCAUCCCCCGCCGAGACUUGAGGACCAGCUGGGACUUCAAGGGGAGCUUGCAAUUAGGGGAAAUGGAGACUGUUACUUUCUGUCUCCAGGCCAGUUGUGCCCCACUUCAUGGUGACAGGUAACUAUCAUGCAUGAUGGAGCCCUGCUUACUGAAGAUGGCUGAACUGACGGCCUGCUGAUGGGAAGUGGUGAAUAGUUUUCUUGUUUUGCUCUUCUUGUGUGCACAGCUUUUUCUUUACCUAUUAAACUGUCUUUAUCUCAACCCAUGAGCUUUCUCACUUCUGCCCUUCCAAUUCUGUCCCCUAUCCCAAUGCAGGGGGCAGUAAGCCAGCAGCUGUGUGGUGUUUAGUUGCUGGCUGGGGUUAAACCAUGACAUCAUGUUUCUGUUGAGUACUAAUAUUUGCUGUUACAGAUUUGUCACAUGCCUUAUGCUGGCAAUUUCUCUAACAGGCCUACCCACCAUUCUUUUGUUCAGUUUCCUAAUCCUGUUCCUCUGAUGAGCUUUCACACCUGAUCCACAAAUGUUUCCCAGACUGAUUCAUCCAUUUAUCAGUCACCUUACAUGGAUCCUUAUUUGAAAUGAUCUUCCAGUCUCCUGACUUCUACCACCUUUUGGCUCAAGCAUAUAUCCAGAAUUGUAUCACCUGCACACAAUGAUCUGAAUCUCAAACCACCCAUCCUUUUAUCACCUCAUGAUCUCGAAAAUCACUUGUAAGCCCACAACACAUGUGGGAUCACCUGCCCAGAAGUUUGUCCCCACAGAUGUUCAGGGCUGCACACCCAAUGCACCAUCUUCCACUUAACUUUGAACUUGCAACAGUGAACCAAAUUUUGCUUAUGGUGAAAUUACGCAUUCAUGCUUCAAACCCCUC